GAUGAACGCUGGCGGCGUGCCUAAUACAUGCAAGUCGAGCGAACGGACGAGAAGCUUGCUUCUCUGAUGUUAGCGGCGGACGGGUGAGUAACACGUGGAUAACCUACCUAUAAGACUGGGAUAACUUCGGGAAACCGUAGCUAAUACCGGAUAAUAUUUUGAACCGCAUGGUUCAAAAGUGAAAGACGGUCUUGCUGUCACUUAUAGAUGGAUCCGCGCUGCAUUAGCUAGUUGGUAAGGUAACGGCUUACCAAGGCAACGAUGCAUAGCCGACCUGAGGGGGUGACCGGCAACGCGGGAGAGAGGAACCGGCCCAACACCGGAAGGGGGGCAGGGGAGGGAAUUCUUCGGCAGGGGGGAAAGGCCAAACGGGGAAACGCGGGGGGGGGGAGAAAGAGCUAGGGUGGGUAAAACGUUUUUGUUGGGGAGGAACAAAGUUGGAAUUAACGGGCCGAUUUUGAGCGGAACCAAAGAAGAAGCCCCGGCUUACCUCGUG
rnacentral:rRNA from 1 species